rnacentral:rRNA from 1 species
GACGAACGCUGGCGGCGUGCUUAACACAUGCAAGUCGAACGGAAAGGCCCUGCUUUUGUGGGGUGCUCGAGUGGCGAACGGGUGAGUAACACGUGAGUAACCUGCCCUUGACUUUGGGAUAACUUCAGGAAACUGGGGCUAAUACCGGAUAGGAGCUCCUGCUGCAUGGUGGGGGUUGGAAAGUUUCGGCGGUUGGGGAUGGACUCGCGGCUUAUCAGCUUGUUGGUGGGGUAGUGGCUUACCAAGGCUUUGACGGGUAGCCGGCCCGAGAGGGUGACCGGCCACAUUGGGACUGAGAUACGGCCCAGACUCCUACGGGAGGCAGCAGUGGGGUAUAUUGCACAAUGGGCGGAAGCCUGAUGCAGCAACGCCGCGUGCGGGAUGACGGCCUUCGGGUUGUAAACCGCUUUCGCCUGUGACGAAGCGUGAGUGACGGUAAUGGGUAAAGAAGCACCGGCUAACUACGUG